GUGGAUUAGAUACCCUAGUAGUCCACGCCCUAAACGAUGUCAACUAGUUGUUGGGGGGGUAAAACCCUUUAGUAACGUAGCUAACGCGUGAAGUUGACCGCCUGGGGAGUACGGCCGCAAGGUUAAAACUCAAAGGAAUUGACGGGGACCCGCACAAGCGGUGGAUGAUGUGGAUUAAUUCGAUGCAACGCGAAAAACCUUACCUACCCUUGACAUGUUCAGAAGCUUGAAGAGAUUUGAGUGUGCCCGAAAGGGAACUGAAACACAGGUGCUGCACGGCCGUCGACAACU
rnacentral:rRNA from 1 species